rnacentral:rRNA from 1 species
UACAGAGGUCUCAAGCGUUGUUCGGAUUCAUUGGGCGUAAAGGGUGCGUAGGUGGUGAUGCAAGUCUGGUGUGAAAUCUCGGAGCUCAACUCCGAAAUUGCACCGGAUACUGCGUGACUCGAGGACUGUAGAGGAGAUCGGAAUUCACGGUGUAGCAGUGAAAUGCGUAGAUAUCGUGAGGAAGACCAGUUGCGAAGGCGGGUCUCUGGACAGUUCCUGACGCUGAGGCACGAAGGCCAGGGGAGCAAACGGG